rnacentral:siRNA from 1 species
UUAUUACAACAAUACAACUGAUGG